rnacentral:rRNA from 1 species
GCUAGUAAUCGCGGAUCAGCAUGCCGCGGUGAAUACGUUCCCGGGCCUUGUACACACCGCCCGUCACACCAUGGGAGUCGGUAACACCCGAAGCCUGUAGUCUAACCGCAAGGGGGACGCAGUCGAAGGUGGGAUUGAUGACUGGGGUGAAGUCGUAACAAGGUAGC